rnacentral:lncRNA from 1 species
CCGUCCGUCCGUCCGUAACACUUUUGUGUCCGCUCCAUAUCUAGAGAACCAUUAUGAUUUCAUACUUUAUACUUUACAUGUUUAUUAACCACCACCAGAGGGUGUGUCAUGAUGUAUGUGCAACUUCCUAGGUCAAAGGUCAAGGUAAAAAAACUUUGGUUUCAGUUGACAACCCUGUGUCCUGUGGUGAAGAUUGUGUCCGCUCUAUAUCUUGAGAACCGUUAUGAUUUCAAAGUUUAUACUUGACAUGUAUAUGAACCAACACCAGAGGGUGUGUCAUAAUUUAUGAAUGACUGCCUAGGGCAAAGUUCAAGGUCAAAAACUUUGGUUUCAGUUGACAACCCCAUGUUCUAUGGUAAAGAUUGUGUCCGCUCUAUAUCUUGAGAACCGUUAUCAUUUUGAAGUUUAUACCUGAAAUGUAUAUAAACCAAUAUCAUAGGGUAUGUCAUAAUUUAUGUACAACUUCCUAGGUCAAAGGUCAAGGUCAAAAACUUUGGUUUCAGUUGACAACCCCAUGUCCUAUGGUAAAGAUCGUGUCCGCUCUAUAUCUUGAGAACCGUUGUCAUUUCAAAGUUUAUACUUGACAUGUAUAUAAACCAACACCAAAGGGUGUGUCAUAAUUUAUGUACAACUUCCUAGGUCAAAGGUCAAGGUCAAAAACUUUGGUUUCAGUUGACAACCCCAUGUCCUAUGGGAAAGAUCGUGUCCGCUCUAUACAUGUAUCUUGAGAACCGUUAUCAUUUCAAAGUUUAUACUUGACAUGUUUAUAAACCAAC